AGCGAUUGUCAGAUCAAGAAGUCAGUGACGUGUGGAAUAUCUUCGCUUAUAAAUAAAGGUAAACUUCGGGGAAAAAAUUCCGAAUGUUGGAGAUCGUUCGCGGAUUCCCGAAUACUCUGCGCUUGUAAAACGGCGAAAGGAUAUCACUCCAAGCAGACGUGCGGAUCUCUUUCUUCCACGCAAUGUACACGCACUCUGCACGCACUCGCGCGCGUGUCGGACGGACGUUCCUCGCGUGCAGCUGCCACUUGAAGCGUGUACGACACGUUAAUCGUACCUGUUACGCCCGACGCGCGUCUACGGCGAUAUCAUCAAUAAACGUAGUGAACUGUCGCGUUAGAUUAGCUUUC
rnacentral:lncRNA from 1 species